rnacentral:lncRNA from 1 species
AGCACACUUUGGGGUGAGGAAGGACUGCAAAGACUGGAGCACUCAUGUCCUCAUGUCCUCACCACUGCCUGGAUGAUGUGACGAUGCGGAACAGAGAACAAGGUGAAGACAGAGAGCUCUCUUGGAGCCCCUCCAGCUCAACAGGAACACUCCAAACACAGAUGCAGAUCCUGAUGCCGGAGACCCAGCGACCCAGAAAUCCAGGGAGACAGCGGUCAAUAGGAGCCUCCUGGACAGGCCAUUCACCCUCCGUGGGGCUGCGACGGGGAAAAUCAUUCUGGCUUCCCACAGGAGGCUCUUUGAUUUAAUAUGAGCAAACACAUAUACAAUGGCGGAUGAAAUUUAAUGAGCUUCUCGGCUCUUAACUGUGACAUUAAAAAGUUGCCAAAGGAAGUGAGCAAUAUCUGAUUGUGGGGAUGUUUGCAGUGUUGUAAGCCACGCUUAAUCAGCUGAAGUGUAAGUUUUGGAGAACUGAAAAGUAUAAUCACGCAGAGAUUCCACUCUUAUACAAUAAAAGGGACUAGUUUUAUAGAAAUUUCA